rnacentral:lncRNA from 1 species
GAGCUUAAAAAAUCACGUAAGCGAAGGGUAUGAUCUUGCAUCUAUCACUCCAACCAAGCCUGGGGAUCCGUGCCCUCCGCCACCCCCAUCACCAGCACAUCCCUCUGUCUUUGGCCUUCCUCUCAGGAGAAGGGCCAGUGAGCCCAACUUUGGCCUCCUCCACAGACAGCCCUCAAGGGAACAGAAUCCUCUUGACCUCAUUCUAUCAGGACUCAAUAUGGGCAGGUGUGUCUCCAUGCCUCCUAUUGCGGUAUACUAUCCUAAGAAGCAGAGAAGCACUUCUACCCGUGCCCUCCACUCAAGACCUGUAGCUUCCCCAUGCGUCUACAACAACAUGUUGGGAGUUGAAAUAAUCCUGCCACAUAAGCAGGACAUUGAGAUGAAUACAUCAUCUCCCCCUCAGACGAUGGGAUGGUUUAAGAGACUCCGCAAAGGAAUCGGGGACUGUUUUUCAAGACUUUGCUGCUUCCCAAGGGCUCCAAAGAAAAAAACCCAGCAUAGAUCCUCCAAGAGAGUGGCCCCCCUGAAAAAGGCAGCAAGCAGUACCAUAUAAAAGGCUUCCCUCCUGCAGAUAAUGGUGCAUUUGAGGCCAGGAUAGUCAUGGAUUCCUGAGUACAAGGACAGUGGCUCAUUGUUGCUAAGGAUCCCAACUCAAAUUACCAACACUGGACUGAAAACACAAACUAAGCAUUGUGACGUGUAAGGCUCUCAGGAGAAGCCAGAUCCCAGUGGCAUUAGUGUGACAAACAAGCUGUGCCCAAGGAGCUGACACUCUGGCAGAGUCCAGGACAUCCAGGAAGACAGAGGUGGUGAGAUCACAGACCCUGGGAGUGUUGGGUAUUGCUACCUGCCAAAGGCCUGAAGUGUGCACUACUGUUGUGCUGGUGGUGGGAUUGUCAGAAGAUGAGGAGGCCAUCCUGAUAGAGACAGUGUAGGAAUCCCAGAAACAACAGGCCAUGUUGCUGCACGUGGCUAACCAUCGUUGAUUUUGCAUGUCAGUUUCUAAGCUGAUAUCACCAACUAUGACUCUGACAUACAAUGAAGCAGUCGAGGGCCAUGAGGCUUUUCUGACUGAGGCAACACAGCCUGGAGCCCAAAUCCCGAGGCUGUGCACCAAAGUCCUUCCGUUUGUCACUGGUGAGCAGAGUCUGACCUGAAAGUCUGGACCUGAUCUCUCAGUGAAGGCAAAACCACUUGACCUCUGAUUUUGAACUGCAAUUGUAGCUAAUGCUGCUAUUGAUUUAAAAAUCUAGUUCAAUAUGUGAAAAAAUACACUCUUCGAUCUCCUGGAACAUUCUGUCUCAGAGAGGACCAUGUCUACACGUCAAAGGAAAGACCAGAUCCUGGUGCUUUCCCACAAGAAGUUGCUCAAUGUGGCUACCAGGCAGGCCAAACAAAAGCCUCUGUCUGCAGACAGGAGGGCACCAACAAUGUGUCAAGCAACCUCAUCUGCAUCGUCACAAGCAUCUGCAGU